rnacentral:rRNA from 1 species
ACUGCGUUACCCGUGAUUGAAACACAAGCUGGAGACGUAUCGGCCUAUAUCCCCACCAAUGUGAUCUCCAUUACAGAUGGACAAAUCUGUUCGGAAACAGAGCUCUUUUAUCGCGGAAUUAUACCAGCUAUUAACGUUGGCUUAUCCGUCAGUCGCGUCGGGUCUGCCGCUCAGUUGAAAGCUAUGAAACAAGUCUGCGGUAGUUCAAAACUAGAAUUGGCACAAUAUCGCGAAGUGGCCGCCUUCGCUCAAUUUGGGUCAGACCUUGAUGCUGCGACUCAGGUAUUACUCAAUAGAGGUGCAAGGCUUACAGAAAUGCCCAAACAACCACAAUAUGAACCACUUCCAAUUGAAAAACAAAUUGUUGUGAUUUAUGCUGCUGUCAACGGCUUCUGUGAUCGAAUGCCACUAGACAGAAUUUCUCGAUAUGAAAAAGCCAUUCUAAGUACUAUUAAUCCUGAAUUACAAAAAUCCUUCUUAGAAAAAGGUGGCUUAACUAACGAAAGAAAGAUGGAUCCAGAUGCUUCUUUAAAAGAAAGCACUUUGCCUUACCUGUGA